rnacentral:lncRNA from 1 species
UGGGGGAGGGAGGAGCUCGUCGAAGGAGGCUGAAUCAAGGGGCGACGAGGUACCUGCUCCGCGUGGUCGACGAUGGAGGUCCUCGACGGCGGCGGUUUUGCCCUGGCGGCUAGGGUUGGGAGAAAUGGUGGGAGAAAGAGAGGAGGGGGAGCUGUUGGACCGGGAGAAAAGAUAAAUGGCAAAGGGAUGUUGGUAGCGCGUAUUUUUUUCGGGAUUGGGCCUGUUUUGGCGCUUGUUUUGUUUUUAGCAUGG